rnacentral:rRNA from 1 species
AUGAGAGAUCGGCGGCCUCCCUCGAGGAGGACCGCCGGACGCAAUGAAUAUCCUGUCCUGGAACUGCCGGGGGGGAACCGCGGGACAGUUCGUGAGGUUUUGGCCCUCUCAAAAGCCAAUAACCCCAAACUAGUCUUUCUUUGUGAGACUAAGCAAGAGGCAACUAAGGUGGAGAAAUUGAAGUGGAGAUUGUGCCUAAAAGGCUUUCAUGGUGUCAGUAGUGAUGGACGUAGUGGCGGUCUCGCUUUGUUCUGGGAGGAGACGCUUUCAGUUACAGUGCUUGAAUCGUGUAAUAGAUUCAUUGAUGUUCGUGUUCUUGAUGCGGGUUCCAGUACUACUUGGAGAGGAACCUUUGUUUACGGCUAA